rnacentral:rRNA from 1 species
GACGAACGCUGGCGGCGUGCUUAACACAUGCAAGUCGAACGGAGUGGCGAACGGGUUAGUAACACGUGGGUGACCUCCCUUGCUCUUCGGGAUAUUCCAGGGGAACUGUGUCUACUACCGGUCAGUGUGGGAUGGGCACGCGGCCUAUCAGCUUGUUGGUGGGGUAAUGGCCUACCAAGGCGGCGACGGGUAGCCGGCCUGAGAGUGGGGACGGCCACAUUGGGACUGAGACACGGCCCAGACUCCUACGGGAGGCAGCAGUGGGGAAUAUUGCACAAUGGGGGGAAGCCUGAUGCAGCAACGCCGCGUGGGGGAUGACGGCCUUCGGGUUGUAAACUCCUUUCAGCAACGACGCGGUAGAGGGAGAAGAAGCACCGGCUAACUACGUGCCAGCAGCCGCGGUAAUUC